rnacentral:rRNA from 1 species
GAUGAACGCUGGCGGCGUGCCUAAUACAUGCAAGUCGAGCGAACGGACGAGAAGCUUGCUUCUCUGAUGUUAGCGGCGGACGGGUGAGUAACACGUGGAUAACCUACCUAUAAGACUGGGAUAACUUCGGGACACCGUAGCUAAUACCGGAUAAUAUUUUGAACCGCAUGGUUCAAAAGUGAAAGACGGUCUUGCUGUCACUUAUCGAUGGUUCCGCGCUGCAUUAGCUAGUUGGUAAGGUAACGGCUUACCAAGGCAACGAGGCAUAACCGACCUGAGGGAGGGAUCGGCCACACGGGAACUGAGACACGGUCCAGACUCCUACGGGAGGCAGCAGAAGGGAAUCUUACGCAAUGGGCGAAAGCCUGACGGAGCAACGCCGCGUGAGUGAUGAAGGUCUUCGGAUCGUAAAACUCUGUUAUUAGGGAAGAACAUAUGUGUAAGUAACUGUGCACAUAUUGACGGUACCUAAUCAGAAAGCCACGGCUAACUACGUG